UACGUAGGUGGCAAGCGUUGUCCGGAAUUAUUGGGCGUAAAGCGCGCGCAGGCGGUCCUUUAAGUCUGAUGUGAAAGCCCACGGCUCAACCGUGGAGGGUCAUUGGAAACUGGAGGACUUGAGUACAGAAGAGGAAAGCGGAAUUCCACGUGUAGCGGUGAAAUGCGUAGAGAUGUGGAGGAACACCAGUGGCGAAGGCGACUCUCUGGGCUGUAACUGACGCUGAGGCGCGAAAGCGUGGGGAGCAAACAGG
rnacentral:rRNA from 1 species